rnacentral:misc_RNA from 1 species
GUGAAGAUAGGAUCAUCAGGUUCAACUUGCACCACAUCUCCAACUUUUCGAAACAAUUCGACAAUGAAACAACCAUCAACAACCAUCAUUUCCACAAAUUCAUCCGUGUCAAACUGGAUAGUUUCAGAGUAGCACUCUCUAGCUGCCAUUUCUAGUGCCUCUACUGCCUUUAAAAGGUCCUCUAAGUGUAGGCCUUUAAUUUCAAUCCUAGAAAGCAAAGAGCCCAAGUAUCUCCACUUGUGCUCCUCAAUCAUUCUGAAGGGAGGCUUCCCAUGGUGGUAAGGGCCUAUUGAGACUAUAUGAGGUUGGUAGGACUUACCAUUAAUCUCUAUGAAACUCUGGGGUACCCUAAAGAUGCAACAAGAGCUCUUGGCAGCUGAUUUGGUGAGUAAUGUUGG